rnacentral:rRNA from 1 species
UACAGAGGUCCCAAGCGUUGUUCGGAUUCAUUGGGCGUAAAGGGUGCGUAGGUGGCGCGCUAAGUCGGGUGUGAAAUUUCGGAGCUUAACUCCGAAACUGCAUUCGAUACUGCGGUGCUUGAGGACUGGAGAGGAGACUGGAAUUCAUGGUGUAGCAGUGAAAUGCGCAGAUAUCAGGAGGAACACCAAUUGCGAAGGCAGCUCGCUGGGACGUUACUGACGCUGAGACGCGAAGCGUGGGGAGCAAACAGG